rnacentral:rRNA from 1 species
UGGGGAAUUUUGGACAAUGGGGGAAACCCUGAUCCAGCCAUCCCGCGUGUGCGAUGAAGGCCUUCGGGUUGUAAAGCACUUUUGGCAGGAAAGAAACGUCAUGGGUUAAUACCCCGUGAAACUGACGGUACCUGCAGAAUAAGCACCGGCUAACUACGUGCCAGCAGCCGCGGUAAUACGUAGGGUGCAAGCGUUAAUCGGAAUUACUGGGCGUAAAGCGUGCGCAGGCGGUUCGGAAAGAAAGAUGUGAAAUCCCAGAGCUCAACUUUGGAACUGCAUUAUUAACUACCGGGCUAGAGUGUGUCAGAGGGAGGUGGAAUUCGGCGUGUAGCAGUGAAAUGCGUAGAUAUGCGGAGGAACACCGAUGGCGAAGGCAGCCUCCUGGGAUAACACUGACGCUCAUGCACGAAAGCGUGGGGAGCAAACAGG